UACAGAGGUCUCAAGCGUUGUUCGGAUUCAGUUGGGCGUAAAGGGUGCGUAGGCGGCGCGGUAAGUCGGGUGUGAAAUCUCGGGCUUAACUCCGAAACUGCAUUCGAUACUGCCGUGAUUGAGGACUGGAGAGGAGACUGGAAUUUACGGUGUAGCGGUGAAAUGCGUAGAUAUCGAUGAAGGAAGACCAGGUGGCGAAGGCGGGU
rnacentral:rRNA from 1 species